rnacentral:rRNA from 1 species
GUGCAGCAGGCGCGAAACCUUCGCAAUGCGGGAAACCGCGACGAGGGGACUCCCAGUGCCUACGCUCAGCGUAGGCUGUUCCCGAGCCUAGAAAGCUCGGGGAGUAAGGGCUGGGUAAGACGGGUGCCAGCCGCCGCGGUAAACUACCGCGAGCCCGACGUAGGUGGCCACUAGUUAUUGGGGCCUAAAGCGUCCGUAGCCGGCCCGGUAAAUGCCUGGGUAAAUCGUGAGGCCUAACCUCACGAAUUCCGGGUAGACUGCCGGGCUAGGGACCGGAGGAGGGAGAGGGUACUCCGAGGGGUAGGGGUGAAAUCCUGUAAUCCCUGGAGGACCACCGGUGGCGAAGGCGCUCUCCUAGGACGGGUCCGACGGUGAGGGACGAAAGCCAGGGGAGCGAACCGGAUUA